CGAUCUCUUCGGAGAUAGUGGCAGACGGGUGAGUAACGCGUGGGAACCUACCCUUUGGUACGGAACAACAGUUGGAAACGACUGCUAAUACCGUAUGUGCCCUACGGGGGAAAGAUUUAUCGCCAAAGGAUGGGCCCGCGUUGGAUUAGCUAGUUGGUGAGGUAAUGGCUCACCAAGGCGACGAUCCAUAGCUGGUCUGAGAGGAUGAUCAGCCACACUGGGACUGAGACACGGCCCAGACUCCUACGGGAGGCAGCAGUGGGGAAUAUUGGACAAUGGGCGCAAGCCUGAUCCAGCCAUGCCGCGUGAGUGAUGAAGGCCUUAGGGUUGUAAAGCUCUUUCAGCGAGGAGGAUAAUGACGUUACUCGCAGAAGAAGCCCCGGCUAACUUCGUGCCAGCAGCCGCGGUAAUACGAAGGGGGCUAGCGUUGUUCGGAAUCACUGGGCGUAAAGCGCACGUAGGCGGAUUGAUAAGUUAGGGGUGAAAUCCCAGGGCUCAACCCUGGAACUGCCUUUGAUACUGUCAGUCUAGAGACCGAGAGAGGUGAGUGGAACUCCGAGUGUAGAGGUGAAAUUCGUAGAUAUUCGGAAGAACACCAGUGGCGAAGGCGGCUCA
rnacentral:rRNA from 1 species